UGGGGAAUUUUGGACAAUGGGCGAAAGCCUGAUCCAGCAAUGCCGCGUGUGUGAAGAAGGCCUUCGGGUUGUAAAGCACUUUUGUCCGGAAAGAAAUCCUUGGCUCUAAUACAGUCGGGGGAUGACGGUACCGGAAGAAUAAGCACCGGCUAACUACGUGCCAGCAGCCGCGGUAAUACGUAGGGUGCAAGCGUUAAUCGGAAUUACUGGGCGUAAAGCGUGCGCAGGCGGUUUGCUAAGACCGAUGUGAAAUCCCCGGGCUCAACCUGGGAAACUGCAUUGGUGACUGGCAGGCUAGAGUAUGGCAGAGGGGGGUAGAAUUCCACGUGUAGCAGUGAAAAUGCGUAGAGAUGUGGAGGAAUACCGAUGGCGAAGGCAGCCCCCUGGGCCAAAUACUGACGCUCAUGCACGAAAAGCGUGGGGAGCAAACAGGAUUAGAUACCCUGGUAGUCCACGCCCUAAAACGAUGUCAACUAGUUGUUGGGGGAUUCAUUUCCUUAGUAACGUAGCUAACGCGUGAAGUUGACCGCCUGGGGAGU
rnacentral:rRNA from 1 species